rnacentral:rRNA from 1 species
CCUACGGGAGACAGCAGUGGGGAAUAUUGGUCAAUGGACGAGAGUCUGAACCAGCCAAGUAGCGUGAAGGAUGACUGCCCUAUGGGUUGUAAACUUCUUUUAUAUGGGAAUAAAGUGUUCCACGUGUGGGGUUUUGUAUGUACCAUAUGAAUAAGGAUCGGCUAACUCCGUGCCAGCAGCCGCGGUAAUACGGAGGAUCCGAGCGUUAUCCGGAUUUAUUGGGUUUAAAGGGUGCGUAGGUGGAUCGUUAAGUCAGUUGUGAAAGGUGGGGGCUCAACCGUAAGAGUGCAGUUGAAACUGGGAGUCUUGAGUACACUAGAGGUGGGCGGAAUUCGUGGUGUAGCGGUGAAAUGCUUAGAUAUCACGAAGAACUCCGAUUGCGAAGGCAGCGCACUGGCCUGCAACUGACACUGAGGCUCGAAAGUGUGGGUAUCAAACAGGAUUAGAUACCCGUGUAGUC